GAAGUUGUGGUUCAGUGGUAGAAUUCUCGACUUCCAUGAGGGAGACCCGCGUUCGAGUCCUGGCCACUUCU
rnacentral:tRNA from 1 species